GGCCUGAUGGUCUAGUAGUAUGAUUCCUUGUUAGGGUUAGUUGACAUGAACGCCUAAUACUAUCGAGGAGGUCCCGGGUUCAAUUCCCGGUCAGGCCC